AUUAUAUCUGUGUUUUAAUAAUUUAUUCCAAAUAUAUAUUUGCUUUUUGUUAGGACUUUGGUUCUUCUCGUAUUUCAGCCUCUCUCUCUUAGACAUGAAUCCUUGGGCACAUGGAGGGUAGUGAAGGUCUGUUUUACAUGAAUCACAAAACCUCUCCUGCUAAGCCACUCUUCCCACAGGUGACUCUACAAUCUGAGACAAUGUGUACUUGUUGGAAGGACCUUCACAGCAUAUAGUCUAUGAAUCCAUGGGUAAGAGACUUCAUCACAGCCAUGGAAGAAUUAAUGAUGCUUAAUAACUCUUUGUGGACUCAACUGAAUAAAUGACUGACCUUAUAGCAGUUCUGCCAUCAUCUCCAUUCUUUUCCACUUUGGCUCACAAGACCCUACAGGAAUCUGAGGCCACUGACAACACCAACCUCACAUGUUCUCUGUGGGAUCUCAAGACUGCAGAUUUAACCACCUGGUCCUGAACUCAACAACAACCUGCCUACCAAUUACUUUAGUGAUUCAAACAGAAGCUCUUAGCUGCUUGUAUAUUAUGUAUGAUUUUUCUACCACUGCAUCUAGCUGUAACAAAUCCUACAUUUUUAUUCUUUCUAAAUCAAAUUGAUUCUGACUUCGUGCCUACACUAGUCAUGGAACUUCUUUCUCCCAAAGAAAUUCAAACUCUAAUAUUUUUGGAAACAGGUGGCUUAUGUGACAGUAGGGAAAGAAGACGCUACCAUUGCUUAGCCAUCCCACCAACUCAUCUCAUUACAUCUGUACACACAGCUCAACAGGCAAAACCCUCUCUGGGAAUGUGAUUCUUCCUGGCAAAGCAGGCAUGAACAGAGACGAAGAAUGCCAAUACCCUCUUGACCAUCAAGAUAUGCCAAAACCACUUUAGAGAAUAUUGGAAUAAAGUGCCUGAGAACAGAUCACCCAAGAAAAAGUUGACAGAGGAACAACUUCUAAUUCAUUCUGAUGACACUUUUGAGGCUUCCAAAAAAUCAUAUUUUCCUCAGGCUUCUUCUAUAAGGCCUGCUUUUUUUGGUCUCACUUCUAACUGAGGAAAAAAAGGUAAGACAUA